GGACACACGCAGAGGCAUCAAAUUACCCUUUACGGCUCCGAUUUACUUCAUUUCAACUUAGUCGUUUGCGCUGUGAUGGAAGAGACAGACACUCCUCCUGGCUACUGUCACUGCAACCAAGCUCCAUGUUAACAACCUGACAACCAAGCAAUGAGAUUAGCUGUUCACCCUUGACCUGCCUCUUCAGAUUUAACUCCACCAGCUGUGUCACAGUGUCUGGGUCCUGUUGCCUACAGCUAGAAAUGAGAUAGAUGGCUUUGACAGCACAGAUAUCCAGCCCUCCAAAGAUCUCUGAGCAGGUAUCAACCCACAGCUUAUACCUG